rnacentral:rRNA from 1 species
ACUUAAGCCACCCUGAACACACCUGAUCCCAUCUGAUCUCGGAAGCUAAGCAGGGUCGGGCCUGGUUUGUACUUGGAUGGGAGACCACCUAGGAAGACUGGGUGCUGUAGGUG